rnacentral:rRNA from 1 species
AACGAACGUUAGCGGCGCGCCUAACACAUGCAAGUCGAACGAGAAAGGGCUACGGCCCCGGUACAGUGGCGCACGGGUGAGUAACACGUAGGUAACCUACCUUUGAGUGGUGGAUAACAUCCCGAAAGGGGUGCUAAUACAGCAUAAGACCACGGUCCCGAAAGGGGCAGGGGUCAAAGCGGGCCUCUUCCUGAAAGCUCGCGCUCGUAGAUGGGCCUGCGGCGCAUCAGCUAGUUGGUGGGGUAAUGGCCUACCAAGGCAAAGACGCGUAGCUGGUCUGAGAGGAUGAUCAGCCACACUGGAACUGAGACACGGUCCAGACUCCUACGGGAGGCAG